UUACAAUAACCCGUUUGAUGAUAAUAAUUUUCUUGAAUCAUGCUUUAUACUAUAUUUGAUUGUUUUGUUUUUUUUCGUUGAUAACUUUAUUAAUAUAUUUUUUCUUGCGUUUUUUUGAGUAUUUGCGAGCCUCCAAGGCGAAUCUCCUGUCCAUAGUUGGACCUACUGGAUUCCCUAUAGUACUGAUGAAAUAUGUCAUGAGAUACCAAAACGAAGCAGUUACUGAAGCAGAUCAUGCAAGCGAAUCCAUGAGAGCAGAGAGCAUUUCCGGAGAUUUUUUUAAAUAUGUUAAUUGAAGUCCAAUAAAUUAUUUUCAUUUUAA